rnacentral:tmRNA from 1 species
GGGCCCGACCGGUUUCGACGGGAUGUAGAUGACUAGAUUUUGUGUCCAGUUUAGUAAUACUGGUAAAACAGACUAAAAAUUUCAACUGGCAAUCAAUUAGCCCUCGCUGCGUAAGCAGCCUGACGAAGUAAUCUGACCCACAUAGGGUUACUAUCGUUCAUAACUGUGGUGUAGUAUCGGAGAGAUGAGUUGGUAUCUGAUAUCAAAUUUACAAACUCUUAUCCGUGUGGUUUCGCUGAUUAUUCAAAACACGGAAACAUCUAACAAUCAGCUACACACAUAAACAUUUAGUAGGAAGCAGUCUCGGACCAGGGUUCGACUCCCUGCGGGUCCACUA